AUGAGCAUCAUAUUUGAGGAAAUGCCAAUGUGAAUCUUGGAAUUGGUCUUUCAAUCAGUUUCAUCUUGUGAUAUAUCUUCUUCUUGCCACCUUGAUGUUAUUGUGAUAUUCUCGUUUGGCAUGAAUUGGUUUGAAUCUGGUUUAUUUUAAGUUGCAAAAAAGCCUUAAACUAUAGAGCUCAUUUUUAUUUAUCCUCACUUCACAAGAUAAGGUUUCAUCAAUUUUGAAGGUGUGAAUAUCUGGAGAUAUUCAAAUAAAUAGAAACCGGUGAAAAAUGAAUACUUUGUAUAUGAAGUUAUGAUUGUCUACUAAUACAAUGAGG
rnacentral:misc_RNA from 1 species